rnacentral:rRNA from 1 species
UACGAAGGGGGCUAGCGUUGUUCGGAUUUACUGGGCGUAAAGCGCACGUAGGCGGAUCGUUAAGUGAGGGGUGAAAUCCCAGGGCUCAACCCUGGAACUGCCUUUCAUACUGGCGAUCUAGAGUCCGGAAGAGGUGAGUGGAACUCCUAGUGUAGAGGUGGAAUUCGUAGAUAUUAGGAAGAACACCAGUGGCGAAGGCGGCUCACUGGUCCGGUACUGACGCUGAGGUGCGAAAGCGUGGGGAGCGAACAGG